GAUGAACGCUGGCGGCGUGCCUAAUACAUGCAAGUCGAGCGAACGGACGAGAAGCUUGCUUCUCUGAUGUUAGCGGCGGACGGGUGAGUAACACGUGGAUAACCUACCUAUAAGACUGGGAUAACUUCGGGAAACCGGAGCUAAUACCGGAUAAUAUUUUGAACCGCAUGGUUCAAAAGUGAAAGACGGUCUUGCUGUCACUUAUAGAUGGAUCCGCGCUGCAUUAGCUAGUUGGUAAGGUAACGGCUUACCAAGGCAACGAUGCAUAGCCGACCUGAGAGGGUGAUAGGCCACACUGGAACUGAGACACGGUCCAGACGCCUACGGGAGGCAGCAGUAGGGAAUCUUACGCAAUGGGCGAAAGCCUGACGGAGCAACGCCGCGUGAGUGAUGAAGGUCUUCGGAUCGUAAAACUCUGUUAUUAGGGAAGAACAUAUGUGUAAGUAACUGUGCACAUCUUGACGGUACCUAAUCAGAAAGCCACGGCUAACUACGUG
rnacentral:rRNA from 1 species